AUUGAACGCUGGCGGCAUGCCUUACACAUGCAAGUCGAACGGCAGCACGGGUGCUUGCGCCUGGUGGCGAGUGGCGAACGGGUGAGUAAUACAUCGGAACAUGUCCUGUAGUGGGGGAUAGCCCGGCGAAAGCCGGAUUCAUACCGCAUACGAUCUACGGAUGACAGCGGGGGACCUUCGGGCCUCGCGCUAUAGGGUUGGCCGAUGGCUGAUUAGCUAGUUGGUGGGGUAAAGGCCUACCAAGGCGACGAUCAGUAGCUGGUCUGAGAGGACGACCAGCCACACUGGGACUGAGACACGGCCCAGACUCCUACGGGAGGCAGCAGUGGGGAAUUUUGGACAAUGGGCGAAAGCCUGAUCCAGCAAUGCCGCGUGUGUGAAGAAGGCCUUCGGGUUGUAAAGCACUUUUGUCCGGAAAGAAAUCCUUCUCCCUAAUACGUUCAGGGGAUGACGGUACCGGAAGAAUAAGCACCGGCUAACUACGUG
rnacentral:rRNA from 1 species